GCCCCCGUAGCUCAAUCGGUAGAGCGUGAGACUCUUAAUCUCAAGGUUGCGGGUUCGACCCCCGCCGAGGGCU
rnacentral:tRNA from 1 species